rnacentral:tRNA from 1 species
GCCGGAGUGGCGGAAUUGGCAUACGCGAUCGACUCAAAAUCGAUUGCCCUUGCGGGCUUGUGGGUUCGAGUCCCACCUCCGGCA